GGCGGGCUGCGAGGUGCGUUAGGAGCUAUUAUUCCCGGGCCCUAUAAGAUUCUACGGGAGCUGACCCUGGCGGGGACCGUGGUUUUCGUCAAUCGGCGCCCACCUACUUUGUGUAGGGAAACCGGAAUCUUCGCUCCGACGGCCAUCGCGGCUCUGCC
rnacentral:other from 1 species